UAUUUGAAUUGUUUCCAGUUUGGAUUGAUUAUGAAGCCACUAUAAAUACAGUGCAUAGCCCUUUCUAUGAACGUAUAUUUUCAUUUUUCUUGGGGGAAAUACUAAGAAGAGGACUGCUGGGUUGCACAUCAAGUUUAUCUCUUGACCCAAACAUGAUAAAGUGAUGGAAUGCCAUUUAAGAGACCAUGACUCUACCUUGGGGACCCUCACUCACCAGCCCUGAAGAAAGCUGGGUGACAUGCUGUGAGUAUUCCAUGGAAAGAGGUUGACAGGCCAAGAGGUAGAGGAACUAGGGCCCUACGACAAGAAUUCUUGAAAAGUAAGUCCUAUUAGGAACCCUGGGAGUGAGCUGGAAGAUGUUGCCAUACCACCAUGACCUCAGUUCCACCAGUGAAACCUGGAGCUCGAGAAGCCGAGGGUCCACCUGAGCCACACCUGGAUACCCAGACCUAAAAUGUGAGAUAGGCUCUGUCACUGGCAGCUAACAGAUGCUCAGCUCCUUUAAGAGACGGCUUCCUGGUUCAGGCUGGUGGCACAGAUGACUCUUUGAGAGGUCCUGCUAUGGAGUCCUUAAUGCUGCAAGCUGCUUGGUGGUGGUAUGGACCCACUGCUUCCCAGAGUUGGUGGUGAACAUACCUCUGCCACGUUGAAAAGCUGAAAGGGGUGAAGCCAGCAGCCAGGGCUGCCAAUUUCAUUUUAGCCUUGCAGCUUAACAGUUUUAAAACUCUUCUGGUCAAUAAAAGAUUACAGAUAUACAAUAAAGACAGAUUAAAUGAAAAAAAAACAACUCUAAAAGGGUUACAAGAUGUUUAAAACUAUAAUAGGCUUGAGAGAGAAAAAAAAAGGAUAGAGAAAGUCCCUAAAAAAAGAGUAAUAAAAAAAGAAACAUAAAGAUGGAAAGUAUACAGAGAGUCUGGAUACUGUAUAUUAUUGUAUUGUUUUUGGGAUUUUUUUUUUUAAAUUGCAUUUGAUUUUAGGGGCUGCUAAGUUAAACCAACAUAUAUAUCUUAAAGGUAUCUUGAUUUCAAAAUUUGAAUCUAAGGAUCUGUUGCUGUGGGAAAGAGGUUCUGCUUUUGUUUCCACAGAAGAUGAGAAGCUGUGGAUUCCUUCCAGAUUAAUAUAGUUCCAUCAAUGAAGACCCACCUGAGAGGUCUCCAAGUGGAAGCUAUGGUCCAGAUGAUCCUACAUCCAGAACAGCUUCAAAGCAUCUGGCUAAAAUGAUCCAGCCGCACAGACUACUCCAAUCAGGACUUGACUAUAAUCCUAAAUUUUCUUAGGGUACCCCAAAGAUUACCAGUGCCCCCAAUCAGCAGGAAGUAGCCUAGAAAACUAUGCCUACAUUCCCAAAAAAUGGA